rnacentral:rRNA from 1 species
AUUGAACGCUGGCGGCAUGCCUUACACAUGCAAGUCGAACGGCAACGGGCCUUCGGGUGCCGACGAGUGGCGAACGGGUGAGUAAUGUAUCGGAACGUACCUUUCAGUGGGGGAUAACGUAGCGAAAGUUACGCUAAUACCGCAUAUUCUGUGAGCAGGAAAGCAGGGGAUCGCAAGACCUUGCGCUGAUUGAGCGGCCGAUAUCAGAUUAGCUAGUUGGUGAGGUAAAGGCUCACCAAGGCGACGAUCUGUAGCGGGUCUGAGAGGAUGAUCCGCCACACUGGAACUGAGACACGGUCCAGACUCCUACGGGAGGCAGCAGUGGGGAAUUUUGGACAAUGGGGGCAACCCUGAUCCAGCCAUUCCGCGUGAGUGAAGAAGGCCUCGGUUGUAAAGACGUCUUCUAGCAGGAACGAAACGGUAGG